rnacentral:rRNA from 1 species
CACUCCUACGGGAGGCAGCAGUGAGGAAUAUUGGACAAUGGGUGGAAGCCUGAUCCAGCCAUCCCGCGUGCAGGAAGACGGCCCUAUGGGUUGUAAACUGCUUUUAUCUGGGGAUAAACCUACUCACGUGUAAGUAGCUGAAGGUACCAGAAGAAUAAGCACCGGCUAACUCCGUGCCAGCAGCCGCGGUAAUACGGAGGGUGCAAGCAUUAUCCGGAUUUAUUGGGUUUAAAGGGUCCGUAGGCGGACUGAUAAGUCAGUGGUGAAAUCCGACAGCUUAACUGUCGAACUGCCAUUGAUACUGUUAGUCUUGAGUAAGGUUGAAGUGGCUGGAAUAAGUAGUGUAGCGGUGAAAUGCAUAGAUAUUACUUAGAACACCAAUUGCGAAGGCAGGUCACUAAGUCUUAACUGACGCUGAUGGACGAAAGCGUGGGGAGCGAACAGGAUUAGAUACCCGAGUAGUCCCAUGA